UGAUAUUGUUGUUGUUUUCGAUGUUGUGUUGGUUGAAGAAGAUGAAGUUGGGUAAUGGUGAUGAAGAGUGACAAAAAACUUUGAUUUGGUGUUGAUGAUGAAGAGGAAAAUUGUGUUAUUGUUUAUGUUAGUAUGGAUGAUGUUGUAGCUUCUAUGGUGUGGUUUUGGAAAAAAAAGUGAUGAUGAGGAGAUGAGUUAUUUAAGGUUGUUGUUAUUGUUGUGAUGAAAAUGAUAUUGGUUAGAGGUGUUGAUGAUGGAGGAGAUAGGCUGUGGUG
rnacentral:lncRNA from 1 species